ensembl:lncRNA
UCUCCUUGUGCUGAGUAGUCUCAAACAAUAUAAAAAAUCUGGUAGUUAUUGAUCUCCUGUAGUUAACUCCACAAAUUUUGCCAGUAAGCAGUAGAAGUUUUUUAACAUCCCUGAAUAAAAGCUAAGAAGGGAGGCAGCAAUUUUCCAUCUCUCUGCCAACACUGAUCUGCCUCAGGGACUUGGCAGGACAAGUGACAAUCAGGCCUGACAGGCCUGUCUGCAGACAGCAGGAGAUGGGAGAAGGUCAUUUCACACAUUAGCUCCACCUGCGAGGAGAGAGGGCUGCACUCACCCUCCUGCUGCGGGCACCAAGUGGUUGUGGCUCCGGGCUCAAGAGGGAAAUCCACAUUCCCUGCAUAGCCAGGGAGCUUCUGGAAGCUCUGCUGUGAGAUAUUCAGAGUAGUCUGGAAGUGGGCAGGCAUGGCAUGGCAGAUAACCACUGCUUCACUUGUUUCCAGGAGUGUCUUCUGCAAUGUCAUGGUCCUUCUGCCCUGGGUUUUAAUUCUCUGAGUGAUGGGUCUUUUCACUGUGCAUGCUGUGGUUCCAUCUGUAGUCACACAGCCAGCUGAGUGUUUGUGCUUUUGAGUUCCAGCUAAGGGAGACUGGCUGAAUGGAGAGAGAGCAGAGCAUUUUUUGUAUAGCUGGGAUGGAUAUGAAGAAGAGGAGAUGUGGCAAACAUCAGGGGACAAUGAUGAGGAUGAGCAACCAGGUAAAGCCAGGAAGAACAAACAGGCUCUUCCUGGAUUUCCCCCCAUGGCUGAAAUCUGAAAACAUUCACAUUUUUUAUGUACUUCUGAGAAAUAAAGGAAUGGAAUUUGGUGCCUGUCAUCUGCUCUACAUGUAUUUAAUUAUUUUUUGCACAUUCAGCUGCUAACAAACCAGCCAAGGCUCAGCCUGGUGGCCCUACCCGCCUUCCUGAGGACAGCAGCAGUGGCAGCCACAGCACCAAGCAGCUGCCUCUUCCCCUUUGCACUUCUGCAUUCAAGGGUCUCAAAGCAUUUUUGUAGACAGGGCACAGCCAUCACCUCUCUUUUCCAAGAAGGAAACCACAACAAAAGGGAAGGAAGUGAGGGGUGCAAGCUGUCAUGGUGUGGCUCCAUGACCCUUCAGGCCAAAGAGGGUGGUGGAUGUUCCAGGGGCUUCCAGUGACCUGGGACAUCCAGGCCCCAUCUCUCCUGGGGUGUGCUGUCCACUGCAGAUGGCCUUUUCUGUUGUUCUCUGCAAUGAGAAAGGGACUCAGAAACACCAGCUCUGUACAAAAUAAAAGUUUACCUCCAUGCCCUGAGUUGCACCGAUAAAUUUUUGUUUUCCUGAACCCACUGCUGGCAUUUUCUGCACUGUGCUUCCUAGGAGGCAGUCCACAUUUAUGUCCUUCACUUUUUAUCCACUGUGUUUUCCACUCUAAGAGAGUUCUGUCUCUGAAGCCCCUAAGGAAAAUGUUUGCAGCAAUUCCUUAGUACAGCAAGCAACAAAUGUAAUGUCUCCUCUGGUUUUGAGACAAUGCCCUGUAACUGUUCAGGAGUCUUGAAUUAAGCAGCCAAAUCAGUGGCAGACAUGACAGAUGCUUUUCAGCAGUGUUUGAUCAAGGUAUUUAGGCCCAUUAGACUCACAGACGAGCAAGCCAGCACCCCACUGCAACCCUGGGCCCCUCAUUCCCCAGCCUUUGUCCCUUCCAGCACCUGCUCCCACAGUCCUUUUGAGCAACAUGGGGCAUUACAUGUGCCACAGCAGCCCCAAAUGGAGGGACUGAGUCCCAGGCACUGGGUGAAUUCACCCCUGCCUCAGUGGUGUGGUGGCCAGGAGGCUCCAUGGGGCCCUUGAGAUGCUUGAAAGAAGGAGCACAAACUGUCCGUGCCUCAGCCCAUGUACACUUUAUACAGGUUAUCAGCUCUUCCACAGAUGUUCCAGAACUGAGGAUUAGCAGGGAGCUUGCAGAAGUUGUUUAUGAACAUGUGCUGUGGGUGUAUUAACACUCCUGCAGCCAGGAUUGCCUCUGCUGGCUGCCUCUGCCACCACCAGCUCCUGAAGGCAUCUCCCUCAUUUCUGUUUCACCUCCAUGGAAGUCAGGGCUGUGAUUGCAGAGGUGGCUCGUGGCUGUUUAUGUGAGCUCAUGGGAAGAAGUGAAGUCAGUUAGAAAGUCAGAGCUUGCAGGGCUGGUUCUGGUGUGGGCUGCACAAAGGACACGUGUUUCAGCCGGCAGGUUUGUUUCCAGCAUUGCAUUGAUGAGGAGCAAAGACAAGCCCUCAGCCAGUCUGUGUCCAUGUGAGCAGAAAUGCCAGGGCACACAGGCUCAUCCCCACCAUUCCUUUCCCUAUUAAAAUCUCAACAUUUUUGAAGAAGAACAAAGUGUCAGCUGGUGCCUCUCCUGGUCACGCUCUUCUCAGAGGCACUAGAAAACUCUGGUGCAUUGCCAAAUGCUUUGGUGACCUUGGUGAGGGAGGGUGGUGACCAUGAGGUAUCAGCUGGAGGUUGAUGUGUCCCAGUACCUCCUGAAGAUUUUUGCUCACUGGGGAAGCUGGGCUACUCAAUAUGCAUUUAAUGAAACUCUGGGCAUGACACACAGCCCAUUUAUUUUCCUUAUUGUAACUCUACGUGAGGCAGCAUGUCACGAGCUUGAGUCCCAGCAGAUACCUGUCCACAUCACAAGUCAAGAAUAAUUCUCUGCUGCUGGGAUUAGAGGCAGAGACUUUGGUUUGAGCUACUCAGGAGUCACACCAAAGUGCUGCAACACUCCCUCUGGUUUUCACAGUCUGUGAAUCAUAUCUGGCAUCGUGAGAGUAAUUUAAAUAGGGUUAUGAGGGCAGAGAGUGGGUGUUGUCAGCCCAGAUCUACUCUGAUCCUGGGGGACCCCAGUGGCAGCAGAACUGGGGAAAGGUCCAGUCUUCCCUUCUUUGGGCAUGUGCCCAGCCAUGUGUUUCAUGCUGUGAGGUGCUUGCUCACUCCUUGCACCAUCAGGCUCAAAUCUGUGGAGUCAACCCUCAUCCAUAAGGAACAUUGAGUGUCUUUUCAGGCAUGUCCCUGUGCCUCUCCACAGGCCAUCUCUGAGGUUCUCAGACCUUGAAGGACUUUGCAGUGCAAGCAGUUAACUCUGAGUAGCUGUGAAGUCAGGCAACUAUAAAGUGAAAACUGAGCAGAAAAAGGGGUUAGAUCAGGAUUUUUUCCGAUCCAAACUGGUCAAAACAUGCAGCAGAGAUCACUGUGCAAAAGUAAUAGUUUUCAGAGGGCCAUGUGUUCACAGGCUGUAAUGACAAAGCAGAAAUAACUUAGAUAACAAAUGUAAAAUUGACCUGAAGAGAAACUUGGGAGUGUUUUCUGUAAGAGAAUGGAGAGAAGGCAUCUCUUGGAAAUUUGUAUUUUGUCCAUCUCAGAGGGACUUUAGGGAAGCAGUCAAAACCAAAAGCCAUCUGAGCAGAAGAAAGGGUCCACACAGGCCCAGCAAAAGCUGCAUUUUGGCCCUUCUGAAUGCGCUGACAGAUGCAGUUAAUAAAAAAGUUUUGCAGUUGGAUGCUGAAAAGGGGAUAAUUUCUGAUUUAUGGACUGGAGGAAGGUUUCAUGGCAAAGCUAGCAUGAUGAGUAAGAAAGGUACCUACAUUUAAUGAGGAUUUUCAAAAGGAAAGGGUGUGCUAUAUGGCCCUCAAACUUUGUUUUGUCAGCUGGAUUUGAAACACUGUGUUUGCUCAAUGGUAAUGACCUCUGUGAGUUUACUGUAAUGUGGAACAACACACAGGCACAUUGGUCAGCCUCAGCCAUAAGAGGUGCCCAAAGGGUGAUCCUGCAGGACUUGGCCUGACAUGACUGCUGGGUGAAUCAGCAACUCGGUGGCUGCAGCCUUCCCAUGGAGAGAGAGACAAUGCUAAAUUCAUGGGCUGCUGCUCAGAGUGAGAGGGUGUCUCCUUGUUCAGAUCAUAGAAACAGGGAAUGAUCCAAGUGCCCUGGAGGCCAUUUCCCCCAACCUCCUGCCCAAACCAGGCCUGACUGAACUCAGAUCGAGGUGCUCAAGGCAUUUUCCAAAUGAGUUUUCUUCAGCGAUGAAGAGUCCACCUGUUUCCAUUCCUCUGCUCUAGUGUCCCACUAUUGUCAUAGUGAAAUAUUGUUUUGUUAUAAAUCAGCUUGGAUCGAUAUCUUCAUCUAUUAUAAAGACUGCUGCCUCUUCUGUUUUUCUGUAGAGAGUGUGAGAUUUUAGAGGGAUUCAUGGUUUACCCCCCAAGGAUUAAAAUAAAGUAAGAUUGUCCUUGAUGUGGGUUUCCUGCAAAAAGUAGCAUAAUGAAUGCUUAUUUUGAAAUCUUAUCUGAUCAUGCCCUAGGAGAGGAGUGAGAGACACUAUUUUAAAGACUAAAUAUAGUUAUUUAAAAAACAAUUAUUAGCUUCUUUCUUACUUCCCUCUGGGAAAGAUAAAACCAUGGCUUACUGUGUGUAAGCUUUGCCUCCAGUUUCUCCUGAGAACCAGAGAUAUGUACGAGCACAAAGCAAUAUUUCAGUCAUUCUUAUUUUGUAUUCUGGCCACAGCCUCUGCAGCUGUUCAGGUACAAAGUCAAACCUCAGGCUGCACUAUGACUUGACAGGUGCUGGCCCAUGCAGGUGGCAAAGUGGAAUCACUCUACAUUAAAACUGGGUAUCAAGCAGAAUGAGAUAAUUUUUUAAUAGAAAUCAGUUGGAAUUGUGCCUCUCUCUGGAAGAGGACCUGGACAUUCCCUCCCCAGAAAGCAACUUCAUGCCCGCUGUCCUCAGUGGGAAGAAGGUCACGCUUGCUGUCCUCAGUGGGAAGAGCAAAUGCUCUCCUUCCCUCUGCCAAAACCUGCAGAUGAGUGCAAGAGAAGGUGGGAGCAUGGCUCUGUUUCCACCAGGCAUUCAAGGACAAGAUCUCACUUCUGUGUGGAGUGCUGAAGGAAGAAAGAGGUUGCUCUUGCUGACUUGGCAGAGGUCAGGUAAAAACCUCACAUUUUCUCUCCAGUGUCAAUAGAGAGGAAUCAGAUCCAGCCUGCAGCUCAGUAGAUUUGACCUGGCUCAUCCAGUGUAUGCUGCCAGAAGAAGUCAUCCUCAACUGCAAAUGUGUGUGUGUGUGGAGGGGUUUAGAAGGCAGAAUGAAGUAUUAACUGAGGGUGUCUCUAUUUAAUCCACAAAUGUGGAUUGUGAGGUGUCUUUUGAAAUCCAUAUGACCCUGGUUCUCUGAAGCUUGGAGCUGUCUCCUUCCUGUCUGGAGGUGACCUGGAGCUGUGAAUGAUCUCCCAGGCCCAUCCUCCCUGGAUGUGGGGUGACCCCACCUCAAUUCAGUCCCUGCCCCACUGAGCCCCACUGAGGGCCCCAGUGUGUGUGCCCCAAAUGAAUCCACUGAAGUGAAGAUCCAGAGUGGAUCAAAGUCUAUUUUAUCAGACUGGUGGGAAUGUAACACAGAGGAGACACCUUCCAAAGCCAAGGAGCAUUUGCAAAUUAAGCAGAAUGCUUUUCUUGUUACUUAGGGAAACAGUGAUGAGCCCAGGGGCGGCCCUGUUACAUUUUGGAGACAGCUGGAUGAGGAAGAAGCAGGGCUUAGCCAUCAGGUGGCACUCUGAGCAUGCUGUUCAGCAGAGCUGUCAUUCACCAUGUUCCUGGGAUGGAGGAAAUUCCUUCAAUUCAAGAAUAUGACAUAAACUUCAUGAGCUGUGAUUCAUUUCAGGUUAACUCCCUUUCUUUAUUCCUGCAAAAUUAAUCAUCCAGCUACUGCAUUGUUUUAAUGCAAAAGAGUUCAAGAAGAGAAGUACAGAAACUAUAUAUUUUCCUAAUGUUUCUUUAUCUAAAUAUUUAUUAUGUGGCUUAAUAUUUUUGCCAAACUAGAAUAAUUCCACAAUUUGUUCUCCUGUAGUAAACUAGCAUAUCUUGGCAUCUGUUCUGUGUUUGUGCCUGUCUUUGUCUUAAUCUCCUAUCAUCAAGCUUAUCUCAAAAUAGGAACCUGAAUUAAUGCUCUCCAGGUUUUUUUACAUAAAUACUUAACCUUUUCAGCCAUUUAACGGUAUUUUCAGUCUCUGCUAUUAUUCUGCAUGAGGUUUUACUUGAGAAGAAUUUCACUUGAGAGCUUUUUUUUUUUUUUCCCUAGAGUUACACAUCUAGAUAAAAACAUAAUAUUUCAAAUGCCUUCCUGGUUUGUUCCUUGCUGAUUUUUUUAGCAGUAGAGCAUUUUCAACUUUGAUAUACCGGCAGCAGUUUAUUAUUAGUGUGCUGGCUCUACAUAAGUGCUUCUACAGGAAAAAUUGUAGUAACAGCAAUUGAAGGGUGAAAUGAAAGGACUCGUGGUUAGCACUGCAGAACAGCACUGCAGACUAUAAAAUCUCUGUUCUGCUGCUUGAAGCCUUAGGAUUUUGUAACUGGCAUCAAUGGGAGAGAGAUCAGGCUCUGUAGCAGAUGGCAAAUACUACUCACACGCAGGAGACAGCAGGGCUGAACGGUUUUUGCACAAUAUUCUCCCCUUCUGCCCAGCAUAUUUGUAAAACAUAUUUUUUAACUUUUCUGACCUACUCACCACAGAAAACAAUUUAAUUCCUUACUCCUGAGUCAUCUGACCCUGAUAUUUAGUGUAUUCCCUGCCAUUCAUGGCUCCCAUCCCCAGAGCCGUGAACAAAGCCGUGCUUGUUACAGGGAAAAGCAUGAGCUCAUCCAUUGUAAUCACCCGGCUGCUUUAGCUGCUGCUCCAAAGGAGGUUUUAUGGCAAUUUCUGAACGCCUUCAGACAAGCCAGCACUGGGUAAACUUUGGUUGAAUCUUCAGGGAGAAAAACGGAGUGGAUUAAGUGCAGUAGCUGCUGUAAGAAUAGGUUUUCUGAAUGCAGGGAAGCCCCGGUUAUUCAGAUAUUGCAGUGGGGUUUCAGCCCCAAACACCUCCUGGAGGCUCAGGGAAGCAAGGUCCCAGUGUAGGCUUCAGGCAUCCCCGGUAACCCAGAUAAUCCAUCCAUCCUCUGACAUUCAGGGCAUCAGGGAAACAAAGGUGAGAAAAUGAGAGAUGCAAGUAAGUAAUUUUGAAAGUGUGAAGAAAAUGACUUGUUGAAGAUUAAGCUUGCCAAAGAAUAGCAGUGAAACAACUUCAUUUUAUGUAGAUGAAUUAUAAUCACAUGUAAAUUACUUUUUUUUUUUUUUUUCAAUUGGAUUCACUGUAGCUUUCAACUUAGAGACCUGUUCGAGGUCCCUGAAGGUCUGUAAUCUCUCCUCCAGAUUUGGCUUCAAGGAAGACUUUGCUAAAAUUAUUAAUGUGCUGCCUGGCUCCUGAAAAAUCAAUCAGCCCAUACCUUUUGUGCAUUAACUACCUGAAAGGGCUUGAAAGAUAAACAGAGGGCACUGUCCUGUAGUCAUUCACUAGGAAGAACAGAGAUAACAAGCUUGUAGGAGUUUUCCCACUGCACACCUGGGCACAAUGAAGCAGCUGCAGCUCUGCCUCCAUACCAACUUUUCAUUACCUCAUAGGUUAAAGAAUAGACCAAGUUCUGAAUUUUUAGUAAUAUAUAAUCUAAUUAAGUUACAUAAUCAAGUUAAGAGAGAAGUUCAAUGUUGAAGCUCAAGAAGAAGUUCAAGAAAUCCUCACAGGUUGUGGGACCUUGAGGCAUUGCUUUGCUCCUCUAGACAUAAUUUUCUGCAGCCAUUACAAAUUAAUGGGUUGCAUUUUUGGCAUCACUGUCUGCUAGUGACAGAGGAAGGGCUGCUGUAGCUUGUUUGGGAUUUCCUACAUCUGAUUUACCUCUGUUAACAGGGAGAAUUAAGUCUUGAAGACCAUUUCUCCCCCUUUUUUUGUAAUUAGUUGUUAAACUCCCCUAUAACUGAGGGGAGCCCACAAAAAAAGUCACAGAUGCCAAAGACUUAAUCCUUUUCUGAUUUCCAUUUUAUUACAUGAGCCUGGCUUUGAAUCUAAAAAUUAGGAGCUCAGACUCUCCUCUUAAUCUUGCAAGGGCAGCAAUCCCUUUACAUAACAUGGGGAAAUGGCAUAAUUCUGCCAGACGGCUGCAAACUCAGUGGGGAGCAAAGCAUUCAGACCAUUAUCUAUUGUUUUCCUAUCCUGAUUCAUCCCAAGUAAUUUUUUCUAUGGUUUCUUCUGAUUUUCAAAUAUAAUGUAAUUCUGGUUUAAUUUUUUUUCUCCUGGCCACACAUCUGUCUUUUAUAAUAAGUGCAGGUUUUUAUUCAGCUGAUGCACUCAUUAUUGAUUCCCUGAGAGAGAUCCACACUGGAAUUGCAGAUGAAAUGGCAAAGAGAGCUACAGCAAAAAGUACAGUAGCUUAAAUCUAACUCAUGACCUUUUAAGACUUGUGGGUUAGCUCUGCACUACACAUUGUGAUAACGUGGAAUUUCCUGGCUUUAGCAAAGAGAUACUCGGCUCUCUUUGCUCCAAAGUGCAAAGCAUUUACUGCCAAAGAAAAGGGAAAAUCUCCCUUGCCAUAUGCCAGGCUGGUGAGCCGUUUAUAUUUGCCCCAGCAAGCUGGACACACACAUAUUUGAUCAUAAUUUCUUUAUGAUAAAUUAUAUAUUAUAUAACAUGCAGUCAAGGAGACCAAAAUAAUGAAAUCUUAUAGUACCCAGAAAAGUAAAUAACUGCUUGUAAUAUUACCAGCUUACAGGUGGUAGGGAGGGACAGAAGCACGGAGGGAUUUAUGUGACUCGCCAGACGUCAUGAAAUGCAGGUCUGCCAGAGCCAGAGAUAUCCUCUCUUGCAGUCUCAUGUUUUAAUCCUCAGUCUUUCUUUCCUUCCAUUAAGAUAAAAUAUGUUUCCUUAAUCCACAACAGUUAAGGGCUUUUCAGGUAAGCCCUGAAUCACUGGAAUUCCCUGAAUCUUCUUUUAAAAAGAGCAGGGUGUUCAGCUAGCAUUCAUGAAUAUUUUAGCUGAUGCCAUUAUUUUUUUAAUACCAUAAAUAUUACAGGGGAGAGCGGAGAGGCGGCGAAACUUUGCAUUGGGAAUAACAGUGAAUGGAGACAGAGAAUUCAGGGCAAGCAGCCCCUUGUUGGUCCUGCCUGUUUACUAAAGCAUCUCUCGGUGUGCCAGGGGGAUCACCUUUGUCUGUGUUUUUAAUCUCAGGACGCCCGUGCUGUGCAGAGAUUCGCAUUCCCUGCAGUGUCCCUGUCCCCUCCUCGUGUCACAGCCACUGCUAGGUGAUCUGCCACCACCUUCCUCACUGCCCUGCUUUCCAAGGGAGGGUGUAAACUGCCAACCAAAUUUUCCACAGAGAUGCUAUUCAUGAAAAUAUUUCUGCACGCGCCGCUUUGCAGCCUGCGAGCUGCAGUUUUGAGUUUCCUGGGAAGAAAGCCUAUUAAGCUGCCUUUCUGCAGGAUUGCCAUAGCAACCCUUGCACAAUGCCAGUGGCCCAGAUUCCCUUCAGCCCUUCUUUCUCAACUGACAGCAGUGAUUUUAAUGCUCCUU